ACGGGCUCUGAGAGGAGGAGCCCGGAGAUGGGCACUGAGACAAGGGCCCAGGCCCUAUGGGGCGCAGCAGGCGCGAAACCUCUGCAAUAGGCGAAAGCUUGACAGGGUUACUCUGAGUGAUUUCCGUUAAGGAGAUCUUUUGGCACCUCUAAAAAUGGUGCAGAAUAAGGGGUGGGCAAGUCUGGUGUCAGCCGCCGCGGUAAUACCAGCACCCCGAGUGGUCGGGACGUUUAUUGGGCCUAAAGCAUCCGUAGCCGGUUCUACAAGUCUUCCGUUAAAUCCACCUGCUUAACAGAUGGGCUGCGGAAGAUACUAUAGAGCUAGGAGGCGGGAGAGGCAAGCGGUACUCGAUGGGUAGGGGUAAAAUCCGUUGAUCCAUUGAAGACCACCAGUGGCGAAGGCGGCUUGCCAGAACGCGCUCGACGGUGAGGGAUGAAAGCUGGGGGAGCAAACCGGAUUAGAUACCCGGGUAGUCCCAGCUGUAAACGAUGCAGACUCGGUGAUGAGUUGGCUUAUUGCCAACUCAGUGCC
rnacentral:rRNA from 1 species